rnacentral:rRNA from 1 species
GAUGAACGCUGGCGGCGUGCCUAAUACAUGCAAGUCGAGCGAACGGACGAGAAGCUUGCUUCUCUGAUGUUAGCGGCGGACGGGUGAGUAACACGUGGAUAACCUACCUAUAAGACUGGGAUAACUUCGGGAAACCGGAGCUAAUACCGGAUAAUAUUUUGAACCGCAUGGUUCAAAAGUGAAAGACGGUCUUGCUGUCACUUAUAGAUGGAUCCGCGCUGCAUUAGCUAGUUGGUAAGGUAACGGCUUACCAAGGCAACGAUGCAUGGCCGACCUGAGAGGGUGAUCGGCCACACUGGAACUGAGACACGGUCCAGACUCCUACGGGAGGCAGCAGUAGGGAAUCUUCCGCAAUGGGCGAAAGCCUGACGGAGCAACGCCGCGUGAGUGAUGAAGGUCUUCGGAUCGUAAAACUCUGUUAUUAGGGAAGAACAUAUGUGUAAGUAACUGUGCACAUCUUGACGGUACCUAAUCAGAAAGCCACGGCUAACUACGUGCCAGCAGCCGCGGUAAUACGUAGGUGGCAAGCGUUAUCCGGAAUUAUUGGGCGUAAAGCGCGCGUAGGCGGUUUUUUAAGUCUGAUGUGAAAGCCCACGGCUCACCGUGGAGGGUCAUUGGAAACUGGAAAACUUGAGUGCAGAAGAGGAAAGUGGAAUUCCAUGUGUAGCGGUGAAAUGCGUAGAGAUAUGGAGGAACACCAGUGGCGAAGGCGACUUUCUGGUCUGUAACUGACGCUGAUGUGCGAAAGCGUGGGGAUCAAACAGGAUUAGAUACCCUGGUAGUCCACGCCGUAAACGAUGAGUGCUAAGUGUUAGGGGGUUUCCGCCCCUUAGUGCUGCAGCUAACGCAUUAAGCACUCCGCCUGGGGAGUACGACCGCAAGGUUGAAACUCAAAGGAAUUGACGGGGACCCGCACAAGCGGUGGAGCAUGUGGUUUAAUUCGAAGCAACGCGAAGAACCUUACCAAAUCUUGACAUCCUUUGACAACUCUAGAGAUAGAGCUUUCCCCUUCGGGGGACAAAGUGACAGGUGGUGCAUGGUUGUCGUCAGCUCGUGUCGUGAGAUGUUGGGUUAAGUCCCGCAACGAGCGCAACCCUUAAGCUUAGUUGCCAUCAUUAAGUUGGGCACUCUAAGUUGACUGCCGGUGACAAACCGGAGGAAGGUGGGGAUGACGUCAAAUCAUCAUGCCCCUUAUGAUUUGGGCUACACACGUGCUACAAUGGACAAUACAAAGGGCAGCGAAACCGCGAGGUCAAGCAAAUCCCAUAAAGUUGUUCUCAGUUCGGAUUGUAGUCUGCAACUCGACUACAUGAAGCUGGAAUCGCUAGUAAUCGUAGAUCAGCAUGCUACGGUGAAUACGUUCCCGGGUCU